rnacentral:rRNA from 1 species
GAUGAACGCUAGCGAUAGGCUUAACACAUGCAAGUCGAGGGGCAGCAUAUUCGAAGCUUGCUUUGAAUGAUGGCGACCGGCGCACGGGUGCGUAACGCGUAUGUAACCUGCCUGUCAGAAGGGAAUAACCCGGUGAAGGUCGGACUAAUACCCUAUAUGCCCACGAGUAGGCACCUGCCUUGGUGAGGAAAGAUUUAUCACUGACAGAUGGACAUGCGUCCCAUUAGCUUGUUGGUAGGGUAACGGCCUACCAAGGCAACGAUGGGUAGGGGAACUGAGAGGUUUAUCCCCCACAUUGGUACUGAGACACGGUCCAA